rnacentral:rRNA from 1 species
GAUGAACGCUGGCGGCGUGCCUAAUACAUGCAAGUCGAGCGAACAGACGAGGAGCUUGCUCCUCUGACGUUAGCGGCGGACGGGUGAGUAACACGUGGAUAACCUACCUAUAAGACUGGGAUAACUUCGGGAAACCGGAGCUAAUACCGGAUAAUAUAUUGAACCGCAUGGUUCAAUAGUGAAAGACGGUUUUGCUGUCACUUAUAGAUGGAUCCGCGCCGCAUUAGCUAGUUGGUAAGGUAACGGCUUACCAAGGCAACGAUGCGUAGCCGACCUGAGGGGGUGAUCGGCCACACUGGAACUGAGACACGGUCCAGACUCCUACGGGAGGCAGCAGUAGGGAAUCUUCCGCAAUGGGCGAAAGCUUGACGGAGCAACGCCGCGUGAGUGAUGAAGGUCUUUGGAUCGUAAAACUCUGUUAUUAGGGAAGAACAAAUGUGUAAGUAACUAUGCACGUCUUGACGGUACCUAAUCAGAAAGCCACGGCUAACUACGUG